UACGUAGGUGGCAAGCGUUGUCCGGAUUUAUUGGGUUUAAAGGGCGCGUAGGCGGCGCGGUAAGUCACUUGUGAAAUCUCUGAGCUUAACUCAGAACGGCCAAGUGAUACUGCAGUGCUAGAGUGUGGAAGGGGCAAUCGGAAUUCUUGGUGUAGCGGUGGAAUGCGCAGAUAUCAGGAGGAACACCGGUGGCGAAGGCGGGUCUCUGGGCCGUUACUGACGCUGAGGAGCGAAAGCGUGGGGAGCGAACAGG
rnacentral:rRNA from 1 species